UACCCUGAACGGUGGAUCACUCGGCWCGUA
rnacentral:rRNA from 1 species